UUUAACCUCAUUGGAACAUUAUUUAAAAUGAUGAAUGUUCUUACAUGUUCUUUAAACUUUAGAUUGAAGCUUUAAACGUCAUCAGAACCUAGCUAAUGUUGAGGGAACGUUCCCUGGUCUCCCUGCUGCUGUUUUUCCAGAGGGAACAUCCUAAAUAGGUCAUGAGGAACCAUCUUGUCCGUGUUAUGAAUUCUCCUCAUAAUUGUUUGUGUUCUUCAGGAGAACUGCUUCCCUCCUCUUCAGACUGCUUACCAGAGACUCUACUUUUCAAACAAACACUGAUUCAGAGGCUCAGUGUGGAAAAGGCUACGGAGUGUGCUCAGUGUGGAAUAUCUUCCUUCCUCUGGCAUCCAUCGAACCUAAUUAACCCGGCGAGUCCAAUUAGAGCAGACGGCUCCUCCUGGUUCUGGGAAACAAACUGGGUGUCUUUGGGACAGUUUUGUCUCUUUGUGACAUGAAACUAUGAUGCAUCCCAUAAUAUCAACGCUGGAGUGGAUGUAAAACUGAUCUGGUGUCAGUUUUUACCAGAACUCAGAUGUGUUUCUCCUCCUAAAUGUCAUGGUUCUAUCUGCUGGACUGAUGAAGUUCUGAGGAUCAGAAAUGAUGGAAAAAGUCCAUUAAAAAGUGAUAAAUCUGGACCCACCUCUAUGGACUUCAAGGACCUGGAACUCUGGAAAUAUUCACAGGAUGAAGGUAGAACUUUGAUCAUUAAUAAAGUUACUGGGGAUGGAGAACAAGAUGAGUCUUUGUGAAAUGGUGGGAAAAGUCCAUUAAAAGUGCUGAAAAGAUUUAUCCGGACCCAUCUCUAUGGACUUCAAGGACCUGGAACUCUGGAAAUAUUCACAGGAUGAAGGUAGAACUCUGCAUGUAUUUACUAAAUCUUUAUUACAGUCAUCAGUUAUGGGUUUGGUUUCACACCAGAACAUCUGGAAGCUGCUCUGAAUGAAACGAUUCCUUGAGAAGAAGAUGGGAAGUGUUUGGAGGUGAUUCUGCUGUUGUUGUCUUUCUGGUGUCGACAGCGUCUCGGGUCUGGUGGAGAACCGGGGGUCUUCUGGCACCAGCAGGGCUUAAACCAGAUUGACCUCCAGCUUCUCAUCUGCCUUUUCCCACAGGAGGACUGACCUGGGCGCCCACAAAGCUCUCACACUCAGAUUUAUGUUCCAGCCACAGAAUUACACCCUCCAGUCCUCGGCUCGUCUCAGGUGGAAUUUAAAGCAGCAAUAAGUAUCUUCAGUUUCACCUCAUCUUAUCUGGAAUAUCACCACGUUAAAACAACAGUUCUGGUCCGGUUCAUGCAGAACAUAGUUCUAAAAUCCAAAUAAAACCAUCAACACAGCAUCAGAUGAAGAUUUUUUUAGACUCCAAUCAGAGAAAAAUGUGAUUUUCAAGAUUUUUCAGAGUCAAAAAAUGCAUGAAGUGAAGUGACACUGAUUUAUAUUUCACAUUUAAAACCACACAAUGUGCUUUCAUGACAUUUAGGAGGAAAAACACAUUCAAGUUCUGAUCAAAACUGACACCAGAUCAGUUUUACAUCCAUCCAGGUGUUACAGUCUGAACACUACAUCUGGUUUCUGUUCAUUUUCUUCAACUUUGAGCAUCAAUAUUAUGGGAUGUAUCCUAGUUUCAUGUCACGAAGAGACAGAACUGUCCCAAAGACUUCUAAAACGAUGAAAAUGUGACACAAAAUGACAAACACAAGACAAAAAACGGGACAGAAAAUCACACUAAACAAGAGAAAUGAGACACGAAACACCAAAAACCAAACACAAAACAAGAAAAAGAAGACACACAACAUCAAAAGAGAGAAGCAAAAUGACCACAGUGAGAAAAAACUGUCCCAAAGACGCGUAAAAUAAUCAAUACAUGACCCUAAAUGACAAAAACCACACACAAAAUGUCUAGGGUUGGUCAUAAAACAAGAAAAACUGAGAAAAAAAUCACAUCAAUUAUGAGAAAUGAGACACGACACGCCAAAAACAAAACACAAAACAAGAAAAACUAGACACUAAAUCUCAAAAGAGAGAGGAAAUAAUGACCACAAUGAGAAAAAACUGUCCCUAAGACAAACAAAACGACACAAAACUUAUGUAAAAUCACAUAAUGGACACAAAAAUGACAAAGAUGAGUAGAAAACAACAAAAACAGACAAAAAUAAGAAAAGUGAGACUCAAAAUGACCAAAUCAGUUUUAUAGUCUAAAUACUAAAAUUGUUUUUUUGUUCAUUUUCUCUGUAACAACUGUGAGCAUCAGUAUUAUGGGAUGUAUCUUAGUUUGACAGCAGUUUAAGUGAUGCAGAAUGAACACAAAAAGAUACAAAACAACCAAAAUGUGACACAAAAUGACCAAAAAUGUGACCGAAAACAACCAAAAUUUGAUGCAAAAUGACCACAAACAGAAGGAAAGCAGUCAAAAUGUUACACAAAAUUACAAAGUGUGAGAAAAAAAUGACUAAAAGUGACACAAAAGGAUGCAAAACAACCAAAAUAUUUUACAAAACGACCAAAAUUUUACCCAAAAUGACCAAAAUAACAACAUAAAACACAACAACUUCAUCCAUCCAGGUGUCACAAUCUAAACACUAAAUCUGGUUUCUGUUCAUUUUCUCUGUAACCAACUGUGAUCAUCAGUAUUAUGGGAUGUAUCCUAGUGUGAACAGUUUAAUGUCUGAGUCCUAGAAACAAUCUUUGGUUUCCUGGAUGUGUUUCUGUUUCUGAUAAUUCACCAGAGAAACUUUAAAAAGGUGAUUGUGGGUAAACUUUCAGGUUCCUAUCAGCAUGUUGGUAGGUGGUUGGUCACAACUAUUAGAGACGAUGGAAGGACAAACCAGAGUUUUGUGUUGUUUUGUUUGUCUUUGGGACAGUUUUUUCUCACUGUGGUCAUUUUGUUUGUCGUUUUAGUCAUUUUGAUUCACUCUUUUGACAUUUUCUGUCUUUUUUUCCUUGUUUUUUCUGAUUUUGUCUCUCAUUUUUCUUGUUUUGCGCUGUUUUGUUUCUUGUUUUGGUCAUUUAAGGUCACAUUUUAGGUGUCUUUGGAGACAGUUUUGUCCCUUUGUGGUCAAUUUGUUUGUUGUUUUUGUCAUUUUGCGUCUCUCCUUACACAUUUUAAGUCUUGUUUUUGGUGUUUCUUGUCUCAUUUCUCUUAUUUUCUGUGAUUUCAUUUUUCUUGUUUUGUGUCUAAAUUUAGACAUUAUCGUCCCGUAUUCUGGGAACUUUCUCAGAACGUUUGGGGAACAAUUCCAGCUGUCUGGAGUGGAUUUAUGCUCCUCAUGAGAGCUUAAAGAACCGGCUGCAGUAAGGACGGUUCCUCUGAGGGAACCAGAACCAGUCCGGUGGAUCUAACCGGGCUGAAUCCUGGGAGCUCCAUCCUCUCUGCACCAUUUUCCCAUUCCCCGGCUUUUCCACGUCCACUUCGCUCUGCAGCUUCGCUCCUGAGGAAAACCAGACGCCUCCUGGGCCGCCGCCCUCCCCCGUCUCCCCCCCGGCCGGCUUUCUUCUCCUUCCCCCUUCUGCCCCUUUGGGCUUCUUUUAUGGCGUCCUUGGAACACAUGACCUCUGCCAUGCAUGAGGCUGCGUGUACAUAUCCACAUACGACAUGCAGCCGUGUGCCACCAGCAGCACGACGACCUCUUCAGGCCGUCUGUCCUCAAGUCCUCAUCCUCAGCAGCGCUAAAAGCGUUUUGAUUUAUCCGUUGCACAACACGUUUGUACUGUAAUCCAAUCAAGAGCAGCAUUAGGGAGUCAGAAAUCAUCUUUUCCUGGUGGAGAGUUUUAUUCGGUCUCUGCUCGUCUGGAUGACGGCCUCUGCUCAUCGUCCGGCAGCUCGUCCACUUAUGCAGAGCGACAAGCUGUAAUUUGGUGUACACAUUUACCUCAUUUGCAUGAGAGCUGAACGAAUUACGGUUAUUCUCAGUCUAAACAGCGGCGGCUGAGUUCUGAUGGCUGCUGGGAAGUGAAGGAGCUCAUUAGGACUUCCUCCGCACGUGAGUGACGUCAGUGUUUUUCUGACUUUGACUCCUCAGCAGCUUCGUCAAUUAAACCCCCACCCAGCUGGCAGACAAAAGAGAUUACUUAUAUCUAUAUAUAUAAAAAUACACACCAGACAGACAACCAACCACUUCACAUUCAAACCUACAGACAGUCAAUUAAAACGUCAAUUAAACCCCCACCCAGCUGGUAGCAAAAGACAUUAUUUAAAUGUACACAACCGUUCAAAAUUUUGGGGUCACUUAUAAACAUCCUUAUUUUUGAAAGAAAAGCAGGUUUUUCAAUGAAGAUAACAUUAAAUGAAUGACAAAUCCAGUGUAGACAUUGUUAAUGUGGUAAAUGACUAUUGUAGCUGGAAACAGCUGAUUUUUAAUGGAAUAUCUCCAUAGAGGUACAGAGGAACAUUUCCAGCAACCAUCACUCCUGUGUUCUAAUGCUACAUUGUGUUAGCUAAUGGUGUUGAAAGGCUCAUUGAUGAUUAGAAAACCCUUGUGCAGUUAUGUUAGUACAUGAAUAAAAGCGGGAGUUUUCAUGGAAAACAUGGAAUUGUCUGGAUGACCCCUAUCUAUCUAUGUCUCUAUCUAUCUAUCUAUCUAUCUAUCUAUCUAUCUAUCUAUCUAUCUAUCUAUCUAUCUAUCUAUCUAUCUAUCUAUCUAUCUAUCUAUCUAUCUAUCUAUCUAUCUAUCUAUCUAUCUAUGUGUGUGUGCAGCUGGAGCAGAUCUAGCAUCCCAGGUUAUGAUUUUACCACUGUGAUGAUGAGUGACAUAGGUACUCAUGUACUCAUGUGAGUUCCGACUUACGGUGAACAUCGUGUUACGUCUGUCUUGCUGUAUGAACAGAAUUCCAAUGUAAGUCAAAUCUGCCAUGUAUAUAUAUAUAUAUAUAUAUAUAUAUAUACAACACAGACAGACAAUGGAACAUGCUCACAUUCAUACCUACAGACAGUUCAUCAUGUCUUUGGACUGUGGGAGGAAGCUGGAGAACCCAUUGAGAACCUCCACACAGAAAGGUCCCGGGACCACAUUAGAACACAGGACCUGUCACAGUGCCAAACUUUCUGCGAUAGAUUGAUUGAAGCGUGUGAAUUGUUCUCACUGAAAAAACAAUUAUGCAUUUUGGUUCUUUCAUAGAUUUAGUAAAGAUCUUCUGGAAAACAAAAUCUGCUGGAUCAGAAAUAUACACAGUAACCUGAAUCAUCACUUAUUAGUCAUGUAGAAAGUUGUGUUAAUCAAAUUUUCUUAGUUUCAUGGCCUCCUAACUUGAUUACGUUUGACUACAGCUGCUGACUCCUCUGAUCCAGUUUAAAUAGAACCCAUUAGAUCCACUCAUUAGACUCAAACACUACAGUGGGAAAGACAGGAGCUCAGCAAAGAUCUGAAAAAGCAAAUAAUUGACUUGAACAAGUCAGAAAGUCAUUCGUGUCCUGUAUCCUUAAGCCCAAGAACACCAAACCUACUGCCAAGCAUGGUGGUGGCAGUAUAAUGCUCUAGAGCUUUCUAGAAGUGCUUCUGGACUGGUUCUGGACUUUCUUGGGACUGGUUUAGGUUUGAUUUUGAUCCUUGUUUUAGACCUUUCUAGGACUGGUUUAGGACUGGUUUCAGACUGUUUAGGGUGGAUCUUUUUUUAACCCCAAGAACACCAAACCUACCAUCAAGCAUGGAGGUGGCAGUAUCAUGCUGUGUGGAACUGGAACUUUACACAAAGUAAAUGGAAUAAUGAAGAAGGAGGAUCACCUCCACAUUCUUCAGGAAAACCUAAAACCAUCAGCAGAAGGUUGAUCUUGGACACAGUUGGAUGUUUCAACAAGACAAUGAGCCCAAACACACAUCAGACGUGGUAAAGAAAUGGUUCCAUCAGGCCAGAAUUAAGGUUCUAGACUGGUCUCCUCAAAGUCCUGACUGGAACCCAUCAAGAACCUGUGGACUGAUGAAGAAAUAAGUAAAACAAAUUGAGUUGAACUGAACCAAUUCUGUCCAGAGGAAUCAAAGAGAAACCAGAAGAUGGAAACCAGAAAAAACAAACUGAGGUGGAAAUGGACAAAUUUCACCAAAUAUUAACAUUUCUGUUUGUAUAUUUUUGACCCACCAUUUCUAAAACACCUUUAAUAAAUUAAUGAAGGACCCAAAUGCAUGAUUUGUUUGUUUUUUCCAUCAUAGAAAACACAAAUUAAAGCUUUAUAGUGCGUUCUCUUUAUGGUAAGUUACUGUAUUUUAUGGUUUCAGAGUAACAGAUGUGCAGUAUGUGUAAUUAUGUACAUUUAAAAAGCAGAACUGACGAUGAAACAACUGAAAAAAUGACUCUACCAAC